GAGUUUGAUCCUGGCUCAGGAUGAACGCUGGCGGCGUGCUUAACACAUGCAAGUCGAACGGGAAUUACUUUAUUGAAACUUCGGUCGAUUUAAUUUAAUUCUAGUGGCGGACGGGUGAGUAACGCGUGGGUAACCUGCCUUAUACAGGGGGGAUAACAGUCAGAAAUGGCUGCUAAUACCGCAUAAGCGCACAGAGCUGCAUGGCUCAGUGUGAAAAACUCCGGUGGUAUAAGAUGGACCCGCGUUGGAUUAGCUAGUUGGUGGGGUAACGGCCCACCAAGGCGACGAUCCAUAGCCGGCCUGAGAGGGUGAACGGCCACAUUGGGACUGAGACACGGCCCAGACUCCUACGGGAGGCAGCAGUGGGGAAUAUUGCACAAUGGGGGAAACCCUGAUGCAGCGACGCCGCGUGAAGGAAGAAGUAUCUCGGUAUGUAAACUUCUAUCAGCAGGGAAGAUAGUGACGGUACCUGACUAAGAAGCCCCGGCUAACUACGUGCCAGCAGCCGCGGUAAUACGUAGGGGGCAAGCGUUAUCCGGAUUUACUGGGUGUAAAGGGAGCGUAGACGGUGUGGCAAGUCUGAUGUGAAAGGCAUGGGCUCAACCUGUGGACUGCAUUGGAAACUGUCAUACUUGAGUGCCGGAGGGGUAAGCGGAAUUCCUAGUGUAGCGGUGAAAUGCGUAGAUAUUAGGAGGAACACCAGUGGCGAAGGCGGCUUACUGGACGGUAACUGACGUUGAGGCUCGAAAGCGUGGGUAGCAAACAGGAUUAGAUACCCUGGUAGUCCACGCCGUAAACGAUG
rnacentral:rRNA from 1 species